rfam:Stenotrophomonas chelatiphaga strain DSM 21508 contig_36, whole genome shotgun sequence.
UUACCGCGAGGAGGACUCCAUGAAGAAGCUGCUUACCAUUGCCAUCGUUGCCGCUGCCGUGGUCACCGUGCCGCUGGCGCUGGCCCAGAACGCCGGUCAGCCGGCGCCGCAGCAGGGCGACCAGGCCAAUCCGGCGCAGGCCGAAGCCGAUGCCAAGGCCAAGCGCCGCGCACAGGCCAACGCCGAGCUGAAGGCCCGCGGCCAGCAGGUCCCGCAGCGCGAGGAAGAAGAGGAAGAAGCCCGCAAGAAGCGCUGAUCUGCCGCGCUUGCGUGCCCGGGCCCCGGUUCUGCCGGGGCCUUCUUUUUGCCCGGUUGUCGGCUG